rnacentral:lncRNA from 1 species
AAUUUCCUUGGCUUCUUGCUGCAGUCACGUAACAGGUAGUCAGCCUGCCACGCAGUCUCUCCUCGUUGAGUGCAAUGUUAUCGGCCAUAAUCGGUGUCCAAAACGACGAUCACCGAUUGUUAUGAAAACUUGAAAUCGGCCCUAAUUAAUCGGCCUUCCGAUUAAUCCGUCAACCUCUAUACAAAACCCUUAUACCUCUGAAAUGGCAGGGUGAGAUAAUGCUACUGAUAGCCUACAUGGACAGGGUGAGAUUAAUGCUACUGGUAGUCUAUGCGGACAGGGUGAGAUUAAUGCUCCUGGUAGCCUACAUGGACAGGUGAGAUUAAUGCUACUGGUAGCCUACAUGGACAGGUGGAUUAAUGCUACUGGUAGCCUACAUGGACAGGGUGAGAUUAAUGCUACUGGUAGUCUACAUGGACCGGGUGAGAUUAAUGCUACUGGUAGCCUACAUGGACAAGGUGAGAUUAAUGCUACUGGUAGUCUACCAUGACAGGGUGAGAUUAUGCUACUGGUAGUCUACAUGGACAGGGUGAGAUUAAUGCUACUGGUGCCUACCUGGACAGGGUGGAUAAUGCUAUCGGUAGUCUACAUGACAGG